UCACUGACAGGGUUAGGUCAGGAGAGGUGAGAGAGUAUCUCUGCCCCAUGGAUCAGGCAUCCAAGGCUGCUGCAGUGCCCAGCUGCCCGCAGGCAGGAGCUGCAUUUCCUGUAGUAAACACACUGGCUUCUGCUCAUGGAGGUAGGAAGUGGGGGAGGAAGGAAGUCCUUAUUCUGCUGCUGGGGCACAUUUUCCCAUGGAAACAAUGCUGUAGGUCACAGUUCUCAUCCUCUCAUAGUCAAGCUGCUUGUGGCCUAAAUGGGCUUCUAACAGUCAGCCUGAGGACCUACCAGUAUUUGUCACAUUGUUUCUCUGGGGAAAAUGCAUUUUCAGUUUCAAACAACUAAGAAGUCAACUUUUGGGAACAUAACUCAGUCAUACAGGAACUAUCUUUAUUUUCUUAGCUCAGAAGAAAUGCUGAGAACACAGAGAAGGAUGGUGUCUGUAAGACCCAGAUAAACAACUCAACAUUAACGAGAAGGUUAUUAAUAGUAAUAACUUCACUUUAUUCUCUGGGUGGUAUGAAGAGUCCAGUCCUAAAGAUUUGCAGCUUGAAGAACUUGAUUGCAGGUUCACCAUGGUUGAUUGGUCUCUAGCAACCAACACAUACCAACCAAACCCAAGAGACUGCACUAUAAACCAGAUGCCAAUUCAUAAAGAACACAAGAAAAGCUGUGCUGAGUUGGACAAAAGAUUCAUCUGGUCUGGUAUUCUCUGACAAUGGCUGUGAAGUCUAUGUGUUACUGUAAACCCUAGUGUGGGGCAUAGUAUCUGAAUAUAGUGUCCUCCCAAUAAAAUGUUUGUUGAAAACGAAGUGUUUUUGAAUAUUAUAAUUGCCCUCUAUGACAUAAACUUCAGAAAGGUAAAUAAGAAUUUCCUCCAAAUAUCCACUUAUUUACUCCUUUUUUUUUUUUUUUUUUGCAGUACGUGGGCCUCUGACUGUUGUGGCCUCUCCCCUUGCGGAGCACAGGCUCCGGACGCACAGGCUCAGCGGCCAUGGCUCACGGGCCUAGCCGCUCCCCGGCAUGUGGGAUCUUCCCGGACCGGGGCACGAACCUAUGUCCCCUGCAUCGGCAGGUGGACUCUCAACAACUGCGCCACCAGGGAAGCCCUUUACUCCUAUUUUUAAAGCAACUUUCUUCUUAGGGGAUCUGUUUGAUUAUUUUAGUUGCUCUUUUCUCUCACCUGGUAUACUGACUAGGCUCUUUUUUAAGGUUUUGGGGCAGAAUUAGAUGCUUGACCCCAGGUAUAGCUUCAUUAUCAUUUUGUUGAAUAUAGGACAAAACAGUGCUUUCAGUUUUGUUUUCCAUGUUUUUAGCAAGGAGGCUAAGAACUUGGAAAUUAUUGCUAUAUGACUUUAAGAAACAGUCAACAAUAACUCAUGGUUCUCUUUCUUGAAAUAAAACAUAGCUCCAAGCUCAUCUUUCAAGUGUCCUUCAGACUAACAACCUAAAUGCAUUAUCCAAAAUCAGUACAGAAUGAAACUAAUUUGCCAUACUUCUGUCCACUCACAUAGCCUUGUUUAUUUAUCUUUACUUCAAUUUAGAUUGAUCUGCUUGGUGUUUACUACUCUGGAGAGCUUAAGGACACCUCAGCCUAGUGACUUUUCUUUUUUUUUUUUGCGGUACGCGGGUCUCUCACUGUUGUGGCCUCUCCCGUUGCGGAGCACAGGCUCCGGAUGCGCAGGCUCAGCGGCCAUGGCUCACGGGCCCAGCCGCUCCACGGCAUGUGGGAUCCUCCCGGACCGGGGCACGAACCCGUGUCCCCUGCAUCGGCAGGCGGACUCUCAACCACUGCGCCACCAGGGAAGCCCUUUACUCCUAUUUUUAAAGCAACUUUCUUCUUAGGGGAUCUGUUUGAUUAUUUUAGUUGCUCUUUUCUCUCACCUGGUAUACUGACUAGGCUCUUUUUUAAGGUUUUGGGGCAGAAUUAGAUGCUUGACCCCAGGUAUAGCUUCAUUAUCAUUUUGUUGAAUAUAGGACAAAACAGUGCUUUCAGUUUUGUUUUCCAUGUUUUUAGCAAGGAGGCUAAGAACUUGGAAAUUAUUGCUAUAUGACUUUAAGAAACAGUCAACAAUAACUCAUGGUUCUCUUUCUUGAAAUAAAACAUAGCUCCAAGCUCAUCUUUCAAGUGUCCUUCAGACUAACAACCUAAAUGCAUUAUCCAAAAUCAGUACAGAAUGAAACUAAUUUGCCAUACUUCUGUCCACUCACAUAGCCUUGUUUAUUUAUCUUUACUUCAAUUUAGAUUGAUCUGCUUGGUGUUUACUACUCUGGAGAGCUUAAGGACACCUCAGCCUAGUGACUUUUCUUUUUUUUUUUUGCGGUACGCGGGUCUCUCACUGUUGUGGCCUCUCCCGUUGCGGAGCACAGGCUCCGGAUGCGCAGGCUCAGCGGCCAUGGCUCACGGGCCCAGCCGCUCCACGGCAUGUGGGAUCCUCCCGGACCGGGGCACGAACCCGUGUCCCCUGCAUCGGCAGGCGGACUCUCAACCACUGCGCCACCAGGGAAGCCCCUGUGACUUUUCUUAUAUGAGCCCACUUUCAAACAGUCUAUGAAAAGUUUUAAGUAAGUCCCCUAGCAGUAAUCCUUGAGGACUCUACUCUGAAAUCAGAAAAAUCCAUCUGGUAUUGGGGAACCAACAGUAGUCAGCAGACCUGCAUACUGGCACCAGUUCUGCCACUUAUUAGUUGUUAGGGUACAGGCAAGUCAUUUAAUCUUAUCAUAAAAAUGCCUCUCCUCCCUUGCAGGUUUGUUCCAAGGAUUUCAUGAGAUAAUGUGUGUGAAAGCACUCUGAAAAUGCUAAACGACUGUAUAAAUAAGUGGUGCUAUUAAUAUCUCCACCCAGAAGCUUGCCUGUUUAAACCACGGUUUCCUAAAGUUAAGGCAGCUCUCUCUUUCAUUCAAUUCAUUCCACAGAUAUUCUUUAAGUGCCUACUUUACCCAACAUAGAACUUUGUCCCCAUUUUCUGAGUAACUUAGUUAAGUAGGGCUUUUCUUCAACGUUUAGUAUGUAAAUUUGUAAACACUUUUUUUUUUUUUAAAUGUAGCUUUCACUGUUUCUGUGCUUAUUUAUCCCUCAAAGAAUUGUGGUCAAAUAGUGAAACAUGAGACAUGCCGUAGCAUGCUGCAAAGGUAGAAGGCCAGAAGAGUCUCUGCCUGCAUCUCCCACAGAAAACAGGAGUGUCUUCUAUGCAGCCCAGGAGAGACUAAGGGAAAGUUCAGACAGGGUACAGCUGAUGGCACAGUGAGAAGGGGAGGAGGAGGAACUGUAUAUAACUUCUCAGAUCCCAACAAUCAGUAUUAUAAGAAAUAGAUUUACUUACAUGAAAGCAGCUUACGGAAAUCUCCUUUAGCUGGUGGCCCAUUCAGCAAAGAAAAAUUUCUUCCAGUUUUAGAAGCUUCUGAAGGUUUAUAAAUACUGUUUCCAAAGGAAAUAUAAAAGGCAAGUGAUUCUUGGAGAAGAGGAAAAAAGACAGAUUUAAAAAAAUGAUUUAGCUGUACAGCAGGUUAUGAAGGAGGGAAAAGGAAGAGAUUAAAAUGAUUCUUUCCCUCCUCCCUCUGUGACUCAGAGAUUAAUUUUAAAAAUAAUCUUCAUCCCAGUAUGGGAAGCUGAGCAAAGACUCACAUCUUCACAUUCCAAGUUCCAUGAUGGCCUUGGAGAGGAAAGGAGCAAAAGGAAGAGGGAGAUAGGAAACAGUAACUAUUAAAGAUAAUCUGGAAAAGACUUUACCUACUCAGAAGAGGUGAGAUGAAAUUAAAGGCAGGUCUAGGCAUUUUCUGUUAUCGCCCUAUUCUGAAGUAUGUUUUAUCAGCAAGGAUGAAGCCUCAACUUGUCUUUUCAUUCUUACCUCCCACUAACUCUUCUGGUGAUCCAUAUUUUACUCAUUCAAAUGAAUUUUCAUCUUUCAACACCAUUCCUCUUUCUUUGUAUCAGCAACAGAAGGCUUUCUUCUAGGUGUUUCCUAAGUCACAUUUAAUUUAUGUAAGCAUGUUCAUUUUUUUUAAGUUUUUUUAUAUUUUGAAAGUAUUAAAACUUACAGAAAAGUUGCACACAUAGCAUAAUGAACUUUUUUUUAACUGACUAAUUUGAGAGUAAGUUGCUGGCAUGACACCUGUGGUGGAAAUUGAGAUGCAUUGACCAGAUACCCUUCAAGGAAGGACUUGUUGCUCAACUAUGGGGUCAACAAGCAUCUGUCCACUGUCAUUCCCUUCGGGGUUGGCCUCAUCUGCAGAGAGCUACCUUGCCCGAGGAGAUGCCCCUUUCCCAGGUGGCCCAAAUCCAAGGACUGAUCAAGGGAAGGAUAGAGCGGCCUGGCUAUUUUGGCCCUGUGCAGGGCAACUUCAAUGGGCCAUUUCUGCUCAAGAGCUCCCAAUGGGGUUAGUUGAGUUUAUCAGCCUGUAUCUCAGAUCAACAUCUUCCUCUGCCCAAUUCUGUUUUCUUUCCUCCAACCCAUAGACAUGGAUCUCAAGAGCUCGCCUUCAUAAUUAUCCUGAACACUAAAGUCUGUCUCAGAGUCUGCUUCCUGGAAAACCCAAACUGCCACAGUUGGAGCCAGGAGAGAUCGAGAAAGCAGAUGAUAAGAUGGGGUUUUGAAGCUGGAUCACUACCCGGCUGGCAUGAGGACCUCAUCACUGGUGAUGGAUGGAGCACAGAUAGUCCCUGGCAUAAGCGGUACGCGGGCCUCUCACUGUUGCGGCCUCUCCCGUUGUGGAGCACAGGCUUUGGACGCGCAGGCUCAGCGUCCAUGGCUCACGGGCCCAGCCGCUCCGCGGCAUGUGGGAUCUUCCCGGACCGGGGCACGAACCCGUGUCCCCUGCGUCGGCAGGCGGACUCUCAACCACUGCGCCACCAGGGAAGCCCUGGGUGUCGAUCCCAAAGGCACUCCCUGAUAAACAUCCUGGACACUAAACUCUGACUCAGAGUCUUCUUCCUGCAGAGCCUGAACUGUGAAAAUGCCCUGUUAUCACAAAUACUUUUAGUAUGUAUAUUUUACUAGUGAAUAUUCAUCUAGAUAACCCCAGUACAAUAUCAAAAUCAGGAAUUUAACAUUGAUAUGUUACUGUAUAAUCCUCAUACCCCAUUCAAAUUUUGUCAAUGGUCACAAUAAUGUCCUCUGCCCAGAAAUUGUGCAUUGUAUUUAGCUGUCUCUUCAGUCUUCAAUCUUGAACGGUUCCCUAGUCUUUGCUUUACUUUCAUGACCUUGAUACUCUUUAAGAUUACGGCCACUUAUUUUUGUAGAAUGUCCCUCAGUCUGGGUUUGUCUGAGGUUUUGUGAUGAUUAAAUACAGGUUAUCUUUGGUGGAACGAUUAGAGAAGUGAUGCCAUGUUCUCACUGUAUCCUAUUAGGUGGCACAUGACUUCAGUCUGUCGUGUCACUGGUGAUGCUAACUUGAUUAAGGUGGCAUCUGCCUUGUAAUUAAGUAUUUUGUGGGGAAGUACUUUGAGGCUAUGUAAAUAUCCCAUUCUUCAUAAUACUUCCUAGUUAUUCUUUUUAAAAUUUAUAUCUGUAUUAGCCAAGGAAUGCCUACUUUAUUCAGUGGACAGUAACCCAUUACUGUCGUUAUUUUGACACUUAGACUGUUCCACAUUUGGUCACUGGAAGCCUCUUCAAGUUGGCUUCUUUAUUCUCUUAACAUAACUCCAUCAUUCUUUUGCACUUCCUUGCUUGCUGCAUGAGAUAGUCCAAGCUUAUUUUGUACUUUUCCUGCUCCAGCCCUGGAAUCAGCCAUUUCCCCAAGGAGCUCUGGUUCCUUUUGGCAGAGAAUGGCAUUCAGAAACUAAGAUCUUGGCGUUAGAUGUGCUCAUUGCUAUUGAGGUAUCAACUGUUCUUAGGCCCUUUCAGCAGACAGAUCUAGGGAAUAUAUGAAAUAUAUGUAUGUAUAUGUAUAUAUGUAUUUAUGUAUAUAAAUUUACAUUUAUGUUUACACAAACACAUUUUACAUCUAUAUUUCUAUAUCUAUAUAUAUUCAAAAUCAUGAGUUCACACUGAUACCUCCAAUUUCAAUCCAAUACCAACUAGUUCAUUCUAGUUUUUUCAUUAUUCAUAUAUGUAACUACCAUCUCUACCAGUAACAAAUGUAACUCCCAUUAUCCUUAGUAUGACUAUUAUAUUUCAUCAAUCCUCUGUGCAUAAAUAAUCUCCUGUGAUUACCCCUUCCCCCUGUGUGGACACCUCCUCAUCUUGCACUGGGCUGCUGCUCUGCCUUGGGCUCCAAUGCUUGGGCUUGCUUGGGCUCCAAUGCCCCAAGCUGGACCAUCCCCUGCACAGUCACCUUCCUCACCCUGGUCUGACUCUGACACCCUGUGCCAGAUGGCCUUCCUUCAAUGGAUGGCCUCCUUACCCAGCUUGAUCUCUGCACCCACACUAGGCCUCCUUUCUUCCUCUCCCUUCCCCCUUCCCCAUGUGGAUAGCUAUCUUACCCUCAUUGGCUUCCAACACCUUGCAACCACAGGCUAACCCUCUGCAGGGACUCCAUUCUCACUAUGCUCAGGAUACCACACCGGUCUCCCUCUCCGUGGGGGGGACACGCUCCUCAUCCCAGUCAGGCCACCCUCCACACAGACGCCCUUCUCACCUGUCUUGGGCUUUGACACCUGCACCUGGCUGACCUUUUACCUAGAUGCCCUCCUCACACCUUUCAGCCACCACAGUUCCACACCCCCACCAAGGACACCAACCUUGCUUGGCUCCAUGAAUUGGCUUUUGGCCUGAUUUGUACAGAAAGGAGAGGGAAGAGGAUGGAAAGGUAGAGGAAGAAGUGGCAGACCAUUAAUUCAUUCUUUGAAGUUCAUUUUUUUAAAGUUUUAUUCUAUUUAUUUAUUUUUUGGCCAUGCCGCGUGGCUUGUGGGAUCUUAGUUCCCCAACCGGAGGUUGAACUGCGCCCUCAGCAGUGAAUGCAUGGAGUCUUAACCACUGGGCCACCAGGGAAUUCCCUAAAGUUCAUUUUUAAUAGAAUCAUUUUUCUGAUAUUCACUUCCAUUUUGGUUUGGGGCUCGAUUUCUUUUUUUCUUUUUCUUUUUUCUGACUAGAUUUAUUUCUGACGUCAUGUCUGUUAAAUUCAUGUUUGCCAAAAGAGCCAAAGCUGCCUGCUCAGCCCAUUCCUUAUCUGUGAUGGCCACCAUCUCCUCUACCAGAACAAGAUGGCUCACACAGGUCAAUACACAACAGGUUGCUCACCAUUCUUUUCAGUGGGGUUUUUGGGAUAAUAUAGAUAUGGUUGUGCAUAUUUAGAAAAAGGGUAUCUUGCUUUAAUACUUCCAAUUUCUUUUCCCUGUUUCCUUUUUUUCUCUUCCUAUCAAAACUGUUAAUCUUGCUAGGUCAGUUUAAAUAGAACCUCAGUUGCCUCUAAAUUUCUCCUAGACUUUUUCCCAUAGGAAGAUACUUCAAAGGUAUCUCCAGAUCCCAAUAAGAAUGGAUUAUUUGCUAUUCUUCAAAUAUGCCCUAGGCUGUUCUACGUGUGAGCCUUUAUUCAUGCUGGUGCUUCUGCCUGGUCUGUCAUCUCAUUGCUUCUCCAAAGGUUAAAGCCCUACGUCCUGCAAAGUACACUUCAUAUGCUACCUCCUACCAAAGUCUUUGUAAAUAUCCCCACCUCUGGACCCCAAUAGAACUUUGUAUGUAUUUAUGACAUAGAUCCUGUUCUGACAUAUUAUCAUUGCUGGGAGACAGGAAACUUGUUCCUUAGGUACAGGUACCAUUCUUUUUCAUUUAUUUUCUCCCUGGAGGCCUUGCACAUAGUAGAGACUACACAUGUUUGUUGAAUUGAAACAUAAUCAAGGUUUCUAUACUUUAUAUUAAUUUUUCUUUUUACAUAGUAUACUCUUCAAAACAAUUAAACUCCCUAGUAGUUUUUUCUGGCAUGAGACCUAAAUUUUUUCCCUCAUAGAAGAGAAUGAUGUUUAGUUUUACCAUCCAAAGGACAAAAAAGUUAAUGUGUUUAUCUUUUUUCCAAUAUGAUGCAAUAGGUUGUAUUAGUAUACCAAGAGGUACAAUCUAAUCUCAAAGCAAAUUCAUAUUUGCCUAUGCAAGCCUAUAUUUUUGUCCUGCCCAAAUGGUACACCAUUUUGACUUUUGAAAUUAUUAAAUAUUGACAUUGUCCUAGAACAUAUGCAUUACUUUGCAUAGUGAAUAAAAUCAUAUUUUCACCUGCAGAGAGAUGGCCCCAAUUCCUCACUCCCCACAGGAAUUAUGUAACUACAGUAGGAGACCGACCUGCUUCUUUUGUGUUGGUCUUAGCCUGGAUUCUCAUAAUCUGUUCCGAAGUAGGGCAGUAUCAAAAAUCUAGGCUGCUUUGUCAUAUUUUUUUCUCCAUUUAACUGUUUAUUGCAAGGCCAAUCAUUAGAUUGUAAACUCUUUGACUUGGAGUUGUCUUCCAAGUCUUUUGUAUCCUUCUUUUGUAGGAGAUGAUAGCAUACUGUAGAUGUGCAAUGAAUGAUUUCACCAAAUUAGUCUUAGAGUGCUUGACUUCACUGGGCCGUCACUUCUAAGCUUGUUGUGUUCAGAAGCCAAAAAUACGGACUUUUAGUGUUCUUCUCCUGCAAGUUCUUACUGCUUUUAGACCUCUGUUUAUCCCUAGUGGCCUGAUAGCUAUUGCACCAAGUUUUUAGAGUUGGAAGUUUAAUGAAUUUUAAGAUUCUCUCUCUAUGUCAUGCCUUGAAAUUGGAAGAACUGAGUAGAGAAAGAAGGGUUGGGGACCAUGAAGAGCUUUCCUGCUUAGAAAGAGAACUCCUUCUGACAGGUGUCUGUGGUAGGCUGAGUUAUGGCUUCCCCAAAAUGUCCAUGUCCCAAUCCCCGGACUCUGUGGAUAUUACCUUGUAUGGCAAACAAACAACCAAAAAAUUCCAAGACUUUGCAGGUAUGACUGAGGAUUUUAAAAUGGGGAGAUUAUUCUGGAUUAUCUGAGCGGGACCUAAAUGCAAUUCCAUGCAUCCUUAGAAUAGGAUAACAGGAGAUGUGACACAUAGGAGAGAAGGCAAUAUGACUGUGGAGGCAGAGACUGGAGUGAUGUGGCCACAAGCCAAGAGGUGCCAGCAGCCACUAGAAGCUGUAAGAGGCAAGAAACAUGUUGUCCUACUGUCUCUGGAGGGAGCACAGCCCUGCUGGCAUCUUUAUUCAACCCAGUGAAACUGAUGAACUUCUGGCCUCCAGGAAUGUGAAAGGAUAAAUUUCUGUUGUUUUAAGCCAUCAGGCUGUGUGGUAAUUUGUUACAGCAGUUACAGGAAACUAAUACAGUAUCCUAUAUCUCAAAUGUUUCUAUAUUUUCUUUUUACUGCUCCCCUUAUUUAGCCUAUAUGUAUGUAUAUAUCCCAUUUUGUUCUUUCUUUUCUUCCUGACAGAUUUUUUCCUGUGGGUGUCCCUAAGAAAACAACUUUUCAUACCCUUUUCAAUUACUUAGAUGUUGGGUUUCAAAACAAUUUAAUAAACAUUUAGGGACCAU